UUUUAAUAUCUUAGCAGAUAAAUGCAUUAGAAUUAGAAUCUAAUUAUCUAUAA
rnacentral:tRNA from 1 species